rnacentral:lncRNA from 1 species
CCCAAAAAUUUAAUUUUCUGUAAAAUUACAACAUGAACUAGUCACUAGUGUUUUAGAAAUUUUAUUAAUCAACAAAAUUUAUUCGUAUAGUUAGUUAACAGAAUUUUCAUUUGGUUCAAAAACAUGAAAACAAAUUUCAUCAAAUGCAUCACAGAGGUAGGACAAUGAACCAAGGAAGGACAAUGUAACACGGAAAAAAUCAGAAAGUAUAAUUUAACCUUGAAAUCAAGAAAGUAUAAUUUAACAGUACUAAGAAAAUUAACAGUAACAAAGAUAAUUUUAAUUGUUUUACAGUUGACAAAGUGCAAAACAAUCACCAAAAUGAGUUAUUAGAAUAACUCCAAUUUUCAGAUACAUUUCAAGCUCUAACACAGCAGCACUACCGCCUUCUUUUAACACUAAUCAAUACCUUAAUCGAUAUCAUUUUCGCAAAAAAAAAAAACUGAAAUCCAAAAUUUCAUAGCGUAAACAAAAAUAUUCUCAGCCAUCAGGCAUCCGAACGUAAUCAAAGGUACAAAAAUCAAUGAUUUAGCAAAAAAAAUACAGAAAAUAAUAAAGGAGGCUAAAAACAAAGCAGAGAUGAUUUCAGAAAAUUAAAACAAUGAAUCCAGGUCUUUGUCGAUUUUUGUAAAUCACAAACGUUGAACAGAAGAAGAAGAGAGUAAAUUAAAACAAUGAAAUACCUGUAUUGAAGAUUGGGGAGGCGGAGAUAAUUUCACUGCUGCAAGCCGGAGAAGCGUCGACAAGAAGUGUGGAUCUGAUAUAUAUAGGGAAAAGGAUUCCCUGUUUUGCGGAGACCGCUCAUACCGAACGCAAUGUUGGCAUCUGUAGAGUACCAACGGAUUUGGCUUUUCGCACAACCGCUGCUCGAGUUAUGCAUCUGGAUGUUGAAGAGUGGAGGCCGAUUGUUAUUUGAACACUGAACAAGAAAGAAAAGUUUAGGGUUUAUAUAUUAGUUAAG